rnacentral:rRNA from 1 species
CCUACGGGAGGCAGCAGUGGGGAAUAUUGCGCAAUGGGGGGAACCCUGACGCAGCAACGCCGCGUGAGCGAAGAAGGCCUUCGGGUCGUAAAGCUCUGUCAUAGGGGAAGAGGAGAAGACGGUACCCUAUGAGGAAGCCCCGGCUAACUACGUGCCAGCAGCCGCGGUAAUA